rnacentral:rRNA from 1 species
GUGUCCUACGGGACGCAGCAGUGGGGAAUAUUGCACAAUGGGGGAAACCCUGAUGCAGCGACGCCGCGUGAGUGAAGAAGUAAUUCGUUACGUAAAGCUCUAUCAGCAGGAACGAGACAAGACGGUACCUGACUAAGAAGCCCCGGCUAACUACGUGCCAGCAGCCGCGGUAAUACGUAGGGGGCAAGCGUUAUCCGGAAUCACUGGGUGUAAAGGGAGCGUAGACGGCUGAGCAAGCCUGAAGUGAAAGGCGGGGGCCCAACCCCUGGACUGCUUUGGGAACUGUACGGCUGGAGUGC